rnacentral:rRNA from 1 species
GAUGAACGCUGGCGGCGUGCCUCAAACAUGCAAGUCGAGCGGGGCUAUGUAAUAUCGCAAGGUAGAACAUAGCCUAGCGGCGAACGGGUGAGUAACACGUGGGUAACCUGCCUGGAAGACAGGGAUAACGAUUCGAAAGGGUCGCUAAUACCUGAUAAUAUCCUUUCAUCGCAUGGUGAUAGGAAGAAAGGGGAAACCCGCUUUCAGAUGGGCCCGCGUCCCAUCAGCUAGUUGGUAAGGUAAAGGCUUACCAAGGCGACGACGGGUAGCCGGUCUGAGAGGAUGUACGGCCACACUGGGACUGAGAUACGGCCCAGACUCCUACGGGAGGCAGCAGUUGGGAAUCUUAGGCAAUGGACGAAAGUCUGACCUAGCGACGCCGCGUGAGGGAAGAAGGCCUUCGGGUUGUAAACCUCUGUCAUGGGGGAAGAAGUAAGUGACGGUACCCCAAGAGGAAGCCCCUGCUAACUACGUGCCAGCAGCCCGCGGUAAAGAGUAGUACA